rnacentral:rRNA from 1 species
CCCUUAGAUGUUCUGGGCCGCACGCGCGCUACACUGGUCGAUGCAACGAGUUUCUUUCCUUGGCCGACAGGCCUGGGCAAUCUUUGAACAUCGAUCGUGAUCGGGAUAGAUUCUUGUAAUUUUUGAUCUUAAACGAGGAGUUCCUAGUAAACGCAAGUCAUCAGCUUGCAUUGAUUACGUCCCUGCCCUUUGUACACACCGCCCGUCGCACCUACCGAUUGAAUGGUCCGGUGAAAUCUCCGGACUGGCGUGAGUCGGAGCAAUCUGACAAACACCGGAAAGUUGAUUAAACCUUACCAUUUAGAGGAAGGUGAAGUCGUAACA